UACGGGGGGGGGCAAGCGUUUGUUCGGAAUUACUGGGCGUAAAGGGCUCGUAGGCGGCCAACUAAGUCAGACGUGAAAAUCCCUCGGCUCAACCGGGGAACUGCGUCUGAUACUGGAUGGCUUGAAUCCGGGAGAGGGAUGCGGAAUUCCAGGUGUAGCGGUGAAAUGCGUAGAUAUCUGGAGGAACACCGGUGGCGAAGGCGGCAUCCUGGACCGGCAUUGACGCUGAGGAGCGAAAAGCCAGGGGGAGCAAACGGG
rnacentral:rRNA from 1 species